rfam:Schistocephalus solidus strain NST_G2 genome assembly, scaffold: SSLN_scaffold0012790
CAACGCCCGUCAAUACUACCGAUUGAAUGGUUUAGUAAGGCCCUCGGAUUGGCGCCAUUGCAGUGCCGGCCGCAAGGUUGGUGCUCGGCAGGUGCCGAGAAGAUGACCAAACGUGAUCAUUUAGAGGAAGUAAAAGUCGUAACAAGGUUUCCGUAGGUGAACCUGCGGAAG